GUUAGGGCGCGUAGGGAGAAAGGGUUUUCUUCGCCUGGGGAUAUCGAUCCAUAGCGAGCGCCAUGGCAGAUCAUACCGCACAGGCGAGCAGCGGCGGCGAUGGCGAUGAGAGCCCGAGGUAUUUCUGCUACCAAUGCGAGAAGGAGGUAGCUGUGGCGGGGGCCCAGGACGGCAUGACAUGCGCCGAGUGUGAGGGUGGAUUUGUGGAGGCCAUCGCGACGGCGGCAGCUGCGGCUCCAGAAUUUGGCCGCCAGUCGAGGCGGCGGCGCAGGAGAGCUCACGACACCAUCCCUCUCAGCGACGCCCUGGAGCAUAUGUAUCCCCACCAGAUGCUCCAGAUGGUCCAGAUCCUUCUCGAGGCGUCGAGGGCGAACAGCCGGCAAGGGGCUUCCAGCGAUGCCGCGGGGGCCAAUGCGCUGGAGAUCGAGAAUGGUGGACCGAAUCCUCCUGGCGACACUGUUGAAGAGGGCGAAUUGCCUGCUCGAUCUGGAGGGGAGGAAGCGCCUGGAACAGCUGCUGAAGGUCGCGUGAUGAUCGUCCGGGAGCGGCAGCUCGGGCAGGACGAUCUCUCUGAGGAGCACGAGAGCGACAGUGAGACCGGUGGCUUGCGGCUGGAGCUGGAGGGCUUUGAUCUCAACGAGGACGACGACGAGUGGGAAGAGGCCGAGGAGGAGGAGGACGGAGGAGUGAUCACCCACACCACCAGGAUCGAUGCGGACGUGGUUGGCGACGACUCUGGCGGCGAUCGGGAGGAGCGAGUGAGCAGGGCCAGGAACAACCUCACUUUCUACAUGAGGGAGAUCUUCCAGAACUUGUUGGAGCAGAACCUCGAGGUCCGGCUGGAGCUCCCGGACGUGUACCUGGGCAACCCGGGCGACUACCUCGACUCUAGAGGAUUCGAGCAGCUCCUCCAGCAGCUGGCGGAGAACGACACCACCCGGCGCGGUGCUCCCCCGGCGGCCAAGUCGGCAGUGGACGAGCUGGAGAUGGUGAAGAUCGCGCAGCACCACAUAGACAGCGGGAUCGCGGUGUGCGCUAUAUGCAAGGAGCAGCUGAUGCUGGACGAGCCCGCCAAGCAGCUGCCGUGCUUGCACCUCUACCACCAGGACUGCAUCCUGCCAUGGCUGGGAUCGAGAAACUCUUGCCCGGUCUGCCGCUACGAGCUUCCCACGGAUGAUCCCGACUACGAGGAGCAAAAGAAGGGCCGCAAAGCCCAGGACUCCACUCCUGGCACUGCGGCUAGUGCCACUCCUGCUGCUGCUACUACUACUACCGCUGCUACUACGAUUGGUGGCGAAGAGAGCAGCAGUGGUGCCGACCGGGGGCAAAACUCUGGAGGUUCUAGCGAAGAAAGUUGCCGAGAUAGCAGCGAGGAAGUGACCAGUGGUGGUGGUGGUGGCGGUGGUGGCUACCGGGGAAUAUCGCGGAGCUGGCUCAUUCUCGCCGUGGGACCAGUGCUGAGCGUGAUGGGAUUCAUGUUUAUAUCUCUGGCCAACCAUCUCGUGGGGAGACAACCCGAUCGAUUGUUCCAAGAGUUCCAGAUGAUGUUCCACUCCAACGACGUUCCAGGUACUUCUCAGAGACACUGGUGGUUUCACUGAGGGAGAGAUCUCCUGUUCUUCUCUUGUGCUUCACUUUUUUUUUUUUUUUGGUUUCUUCGCUGGUUCGUGAAUGGGGGGUGAAGAUCCGGUUUCUUCUGCUCCAUGCCGUGUGGGCGGUAGAGGUUUCCACCCAGGCUUCUCGUCCCAGAAAAAAUCGUAGUAAAUGUGGCCUCUUUCCAGGCUCUCCAAGCAGCACCAUAUUGCCGUGUAUCUCUGGAGCCGCCUCCUAAACUUUAAAGCUUUGUCCUGACAAAAAGCGCAAGAAAACAGUGAACUGGAAGCACGUUUUGGCUUCACUCACUGACCUUGUCAACAAAGCCGCCAAAAACGUUUUUCAUUGUCGAAAAGUCGAGGAUUUUGACGUCCUUGUGUCUGGAGAACUCGUCUCUAAGCUGCAAAAAGAAAUUUGCCAUUGUUUA